CUUUGUUUCACGUGGUCUGACUGUUUUCAAAACACUGUUGUGGGUUAGCAAGCAGAGGAAGCAUUGCCACAUGACCACUUUGAACAAGGCCCGUCUAACAGUGCAUUAACAUAAACUUGCCCUUUGCUUCUUGAGUUUAAUCAUUGCUCCUGGCAAAGAUACAAAACUCUUGUUUUUCUUAGAAGUUGUUCCUUCCCAGGCUGUGAAAGAGUGCAGCAAUUUUCCUGCUGGUCCCCUUUCAAGGGAAAAGCUAGAUGAACACAUGGCUCAGCUCAGCUGCUCUGGAGCUUCAGGACAGAAGCAUUCUGUGGAAACUUGAACUUAAUCACUAGGAAGCAAGUGGACUGCGUUAGAAUGAAGCUGUAAACUCAUCUUUGAAGAUUAAUACCUUCAUCUUUUGCAAAAACAUGACUCAGACUCCCUGCUGUAUCUGAACCCUACCCUGAAACCUCCAACAGAGACAGAACUUCAAAGCUAUUCAUUAGUUGCUGAUUCUGCCUUUCAGGGGAGCUGCACUGAGCAGACUCAACGUGUCAGAAGAAAGUUAACAGCAGCUGCCAGGGUGAGCCUAGUGAGGGGAUACAUGUCCUUGAGUUGCGCAUUUCCUCCCACCAACUUGAAGAGGUACAUGGGCUGAAUGGUCCAGGGAAGCCUGAUCCUGACCCAGAGAUCUCCGGUACUAGCAGCAAGCUUGGUGAAUUCCAUACCCUGACCUUCAUACACGAAACAAGAAUGAUAGCUCAAACCUGAGCUAUGGAUGGAAGGCUCAGCAGAAUGAGGGAGGCUUCCCACAGGUGGAGGUUACAUUCAACUCAGUCUUCCCUCCAAAAGAAAUCUGUAAUCUUAGCUUGCCUUUCCCAUUAGGA